rnacentral:rRNA from 1 species
UACCAGCACCCCGAGUGGUCGGGACGAUUAUUGGGCCUAAAGCAUCCGUAGCCGGUUCUACAAGUCUUCCGUUAAAUCCACCUGCUUAACAGAUGGGCUGCGGAGGAUACUAUAGAGCUAGGAGGCGGGGAGGCAAGCGGUACUUAGUGGGUAGGGUAAAAUCCGUUGAUCCAUUGAAGACCACCAGUGGCGAAGGCGGCUUGCCAGAACGCACUCGACGGUGAGGGAUGAAAGCUGGGGAGCAAACCGG